rnacentral:rRNA from 1 species
UGGGGAAUAUUGCACAAUGGGCGCAAGCCUGAUGCAGCCAUGCCGCGUGUGUGAAGAAGGCCUUCGGGUUGUAAAGCACUUUCAGCGGGGAGGAAGGCGAUAAGGUUAAUAACCUUGUCGAUUGACGUUACCCGCAGAAGAAGCACCGGCUAACUCCGUGCCAGCAGCCGCGGUAAUACGGAGGGUGCAAGCGUUAAUCGGAGUUACUGGGCGUAAAGCGCACGCAGGCGGUCUGUCAAGUCGGAUGUGAAAUCCCCGGGCUCAACCUGGGAACUGCAUUCGAAACUGGCAGGCUAGAGUCUUGUAGAGGGGGGUAGAAUUCCAGGUGUAGCGGUGAAAUGCGUAGAGAUCUGGAGGAAUACCGGUGGCGAAGGCGGCCCCCUGGACAAAGACUGACGCUCAGGUGCGAAAGCGUGGGGAGCAAACAGG